UUGCGGCUGGAUCACCUCCUUUCUAAGGAUGAUCCUUCAGGCAGCUUUGCUGCUUAUCGGAUCGUUUUAGAAACAUUCAGGGGCCAACAGAUCGCCAGAUCGUUGAGCUCCAUUGGCGGGACACCGCCGUCUACGUUUCUCUUUCUUCGCGGACGAACACGCGCCGGGGGCAGCGUCAGGGUAGGGUAUCGCUCAUAGCUGAUCCCGCUCGACGGUAAGCUCCUAGUCGUAGGGGCUUGUAGCUCAGUUG
rnacentral:misc_RNA from 1 species